GAUCAUGGCUCAGGAUGAACGCUGGCGGCGUGCCUAACACAUGCAAGUCGAGCGAAGCACUUUGCUUAGAUUCUUCGGAUGAAGAGGAUUGUGACUGAGCGGGCGGACGGGUGAGUAACGCGUGGGUAACCUGCCUCAUACAGGGGGGUAUAACAGUUAGAAAUGACUGCUAAUACCGCAUAAGACCACAGCACCGCAUGGUGCGGGGGUUAAAAACCUCCGGUGGUAUGAGAUGGACCCGG
rnacentral:rRNA from 1 species